rnacentral:lncRNA from 1 species
AGGGGCGGCUGCGCUGUGGAGACUCCGCCUUCAGCCCUGUGUUUGUGGCCGGGCGCGAGCGUUUUGCUCGCGGAGCUGUUCCUUACCGGUGUUAAAGUCACAUAAGCAGCAGAAGUCAGGGAGGGACCUUCCUUGAUCGUCGCCUCCCUGCGGCGUGGUUGGGGGACGCAGCGCUGCUCGAGGGCCCGCGCGUCCCCACUGCUGACAGGAGAGUGAAAAGGGCCGAUAGAGCGCUGCGAGAGUUCUCCCAGGGCUGCUGGUCACAGCGGGUGGCUGCAGCCGCUGUCCCCCUGUGCUGGGUGGUCAGAGGAAGUGACAGUCGCGCCUCCGUGAUCUGCCGUGGGUCUGCCCUUUGCUGUGGGCACCCCCUGCACUCCUCUCCCGCGCUGAGGCAGAUAGCGAGGGAGAAUGAAGGGCGUUAAUCUCAGGCUUGGCACCUGGCAUCCCCCGGAGGAAGGCAGGAGGUCGCUGUGGGUGCGGUAUAAUGGAGGAGAGAGCAGCAAGCUGUGCCCGCCAGCAGCCGGCUUCACCCCUCACACCAUCAGCGGUGCUGAGAGCUCUGGCGGGCAUAGCACCAAGUGCUGCCACAGGUUGGAUAUAAACACCUCAGGUUCAGAAUCGAAGCCCACAAAGCCUAUUGGAAGUGCCUCACAGAUUUAUUGGGCUUCAGUGCCGUGAUUUUUCAGGAGCGGCAUCGGAUGCCAGCCCCAGGCAGCCUGCGAAGUCUCACUCAGAUGCUUGGUCCAGAGAGAAGUGUGCUGCAUCCGCGGGCAAUACCAGCCUAAUCCCCUCCUCUGAAAUCGCUCACACAUCAAAGAGAUUUAAAAAACAUGCUCUGCAUGCAUUAUCUUUUGCAUUUCAAGACUGAGUUCUUCAACAAUGCCUGUUUGAUCUGAUGGGAUAGAGGGUUCUUCCAAAAGAUGGGUGUGAGAGAAUAAUGUGGGGCUGGGAAUAAUUUUUUAUCAAUGUACUUAAAGGCAAUCACAGCGCUAGGAGGGAGGCCUAAUUGUGGAGUUGUGUAAUUAGUUUUUAUGUCACUGCAAUUAUUCUGUUGGCUACAUAUAAAGAACAUGGCAAAAUGCGACACUUAAUUUUAAAUCGGGACUUGAUUCUCUUUUAGUAGGUAAUUGAUGUUGAUCACAUCACUUAGCAGUGACUAUAAAAUGCACUAUUUAGAUUGUGAAAGAAUGGAGAAAAGGACAAAGCAGAUAGGUAGUUGAUGGAUCACGGGCUGCAUUGGUGGGAGGCAGCAUUAAUCCAUCAGACUUCAGCUGUAUCUGUUCACAGCCACUUCUGGACACUGUUAUUGGCCCAGAGCACUAACGAACACAGAGCCACUGCUCCCCGCAGC